GUGAAGAGAUGGCUCAGCAAUUAAGAGCGUUUGCUGCUCUUACAGAGUACCUGGGGUGGAUUCCCAGCACCUACAAUCUACACGGAGGCUCAUAAAUCCGUAACUCCGGUUUCGGGGCACACACGUGGUGGGCCUACAUACAUGCAGGCAAAACCCUCACACGCAAAGCUUUAACAGAAAUUUUAAAAAUUAAAGAACAAAAUAAAACAAGUAACUGUAUGGAUGUAGGAAACGAUUCCCAGAAGCCAUGGGUUAUUAAAUGAAAAUCCUAGUGCCAUCAGUGGGCUACCUCCCUACAAGGUGGUGUGUCCCUUACAGCGUCGAUACUGUGACUACCAUAGAGCAACUCCUGUGUGUAGUGCUCCGGAGGGCCAGAAGAGGGCGACGGAUCCUCUGGAACUGGAGCAGACAGCUGUGAGCGGCCAGCUCUAGAAAGGUAACCAUGGCUCAUGAUUCUUCUGCCACCGCAACAUCCAGUGCUCUCUUUUGUUGCCAUGAGCGCAGCUGCUUAACCAAUGUUGGUGCCGUUCAGACUUGAAUAGAUCAACGAGGACCUGCUGCCACUUGCUGCCUCCUCCCCCAUCCAGCGAGACCGCGAGACCCCCACACAGCUACCACUACUGCUACCGCCAUGAUUCUUCACCACAGUGAGUGAGUCCACUGCCGUUCUCGCGGCUGUAGUCUGAGCUAUAUUCUUUGCAAUGGACACCCCGGGGGUUGUCCUCGGGCUGUGCUGGCAAUGGCAGGCACAUUUUCACUCCUGACGAGGGGGUCAAUGCUUUCUCGGGUCCAUUUUGGACCAACUGCAGCACAGCUGCAGCCCUUCCCAUCCCUUGACAAAGAGGAUGGGUAAGGUGAGCUGAUUCAUAGAUCUCUCUCCACUCUCAGGGACGCCUGAGAUUGGAGUCUGAUCCCGGUUUGUUAUUUUAAUUUUUUUAUUUUUCUCUCAGCUACAGCCAUGGGACAAAGGGACGGAUACAUUUACCACUUACAUUGGCGGAUAGGGGCAGGUACCAGUAAAUCUGGCCACAUAACGGCUUCUCAGAAACUUCUGUCAGUGAACGGGCAAAUAAAUGAGUUACUUUAUCCCCAAGCUUUCUGCUAAAGCUCUAAACCCUUCUCCCUCCCCACUUCUGCAUCUGCCACAUGCAACCUUUUCUGUCUGACUUCCGCCAGCAGUGGGAGGGCUCAAAUGGGCGGGCUUGGGCGGCUUCUAUGACUCUCGCCCUAACUCACCUUAACUCCACCCACUCAUUCUCGAACUGCCUUGGGAGACACAGACACACAGAUGAUCUGGAAGCGGCUAAGAUCCAUACGAAUAAGUUUACAUAGUCAAGAGGGCUCUUAAGCCAAAAAUCAGCCUAUAUCCUCAGACAAGUCUUCCAAAAAGAUUGGUUUAUAGUCUGCCUCCUGGUAGAUCUUCCAAAAGCUGUCCUUAAGCCAUCAAUCAUCAGGAAAAAAAAAAAAAAAUUCAGGACACAGAGUAAAAUCUGUCUCUUGUUCCCCAGACCUCCCUGACUAAAACUUAAACAUCUAGAGAGCAAGGCUCCUAAC